CAAUGAAGAAGUCCCGGCUAACUACGUGCCAGCAGCCGCGGUAAUACGUAGGGGACAAGCGUUGUCCGGAAUCACUGGGCGUAAAGGGCGCGUAGGCGGUUUUAUAAGUCAGAUGUGAAAGGUACCGGCUCAACCGGUGACGUGCAUUUGAAACUGUAAGACUUGAGUACUGGAGAGGCAAGUGGAAUUCCUAGUGUAGCGGUGAAAUGCGUAGAUAUUAGGAGGAACACCGGUGGCGAAGGCGGCUUGCUGGACAGAUACUGACGCUGAGGUGCGAAAGCGUGGGGAGCGAACAGGAUUAGAUACCCUGGUAGUCCACGCCGUAAACGAUGAUGACUAGGUGUUGGGGAAACUCAGUGCCGCAGUUAACACAUUAAGUCAUCCGCCUGGGGAGUACGACCGCAAGGUUGAAACUCAAAGGAAUUGACGGGGACCCGCACAAGCAGCGGAGCAUGUGGUUUAAUUCGAAGCAACGCGAAGAACCUUACCAGGCCUUGACAUCCUCUGACCAUCCUAGAGAUAGGAGAUUUCCUUCGGGAACAGAGAGACAGGUGGUGCAUGGUUGUCGUCAGCUCGUGUCGUGAGAUGUUGGGUUAAGUCCCGCAACGAGCGCAACCCUUGCCUUUAGUUGCCAGCAUUAAGUUGGGCACUCUAAAGGGACUGCCGUAGACAAUACGGAGGAAGGUGGGGACGACGUCAAAUCAUCAUGCCCCUUAUGGCCUGGGCUACACACGUGCUACAAUGGGUUGGGACAAAGGGAAGCGAAGCCGCGAGGUGAAGCCAAUCCCAUAAAACAACCCCCAGUUCGGAUUGCAGGCUGAAACCCGCCUGCAUGAAGUUGGAGUUGCUAGUAAUCGCAGAUCAGAAUGCUGCGGUGAAUGCGUUCCCGGGUCUUGUACACACCGCCCGUCACACCACGAGAGUUGGCAACACCCGAAGCCAGUGAGCGAACCGUAAGGACGCAGCUGUCGAAGGUGGGGUCAGUAAUUGGGGUGAAGUCGUAA
rnacentral:rRNA from 1 species